rnacentral:rRNA from 1 species
UAGGGAAUAUUGGACAAUGGGGGAAACCCUGAUCCAGCAACGCCGCGUGAGUGAUGAAGGCCUUCGGGUCGUAAAGCUCUGUCGCAGGGGACGAAAAAAAUGACGGUACCCUGCAAGAAAGGACCGGCCAACUUCGUGCCAGCAGCCGCGGUAAUACGGGGGGUCCAAGCGUUGUCCGGAAUCACUGGGCGUAAAGCGUGUGUAGGUGGCUUUUCAAGUCGUGUGUGAAAGCCCGGGGCCUAACCCCGGAAGUGCACUCGAUACUGUUAAGCUUGAGUAUCAGAGAGGAUAGUGGAAUUCCAGGUGUAGUGGUGAAAUACGUAGAUAUCUGGAGGAACACCGGUGGCGAAGGCGGCUAUCUGGCUGAAUACUGACACUGAAACACGAAAGCGUGGGGAUCAAACA